rnacentral:lncRNA from 1 species
ACUAUGACUGUUCUGAUAAAAGCAAAUAAAAAACAAACAAGAAAUUAGCUAGGUAAAGAGGAGGGAACAGCCUGCCUGGCAACAGGAAGGGCUCUGGAAAGGUCUGCAGGCAGGAAGAGCUGAGCCUCAGAGGAACUGGAAGCAGAUUAGUGGGGUUUGCAAGGAGAGAGGUAAAUUGGAGACGGGGGAAGUCAGGCGCGUCUUUGCAAACCUUGGUGGAUCAUCGGAUGGGCAGGCAAGUGUGCACAAAGCAAGGGCAAAAUAUCUUGUUGACAUACAAGCAGCUGUUCGGUGGCGCUGCUUUCAUUUUAAAUUGCAUAGAUGGAGAUGGUGGUUCCAUAAACUUGGUGAUGUUUAGGGCCUCUGAAGGUCCUAACCAGGCUCUGAUGGCCACGGCAAGGGGAAGGGGAGCUGGGUUUAAGCUAGGUGGUGGCAAAAAAAAAAAAAAAAUAGCCCAGCUUUCUCUUUGUUUCAUCUCAGUAACACGAGUAAGUCGUUCAGUAAGUAUUAACGGGCGUGGCUGUGGAGACCGAGGCGCAUCCGCUCCCUCCUCUCUCCGCCGCCCGCCUGAGAGGAGCGGGGAGUGCCAGAGGAGGAGGAAAUAUGAAGAUGAGAGAAAGGAUCUAGCCUCAGGAACUUUCAGGAGACGAUGGCACACACACAUACGAAACAACCUGUGGCCAUGAGAGAGUGGAAACGAAUUUGGUAGAACAAAAGGCACAAGUAUCCAAUAAAAGCUGUUAUUAUACAAGAUAUUUUCACAGCCUGCCCCACCCACAUUGCUUCUAGAAAACAUGCCCUGCUCACAGUUCCCAAAGGGGCAGCUCUGUGACAGACAGACUCAUUCUUACUCCUGCCGUGGCUGAUAAACUACAUGUGGGACCCCUGCGCCAAAGGCAGUCAACCCACUGGCUGGCCUGCAAGUCCUGGGCCUCCACUUAAAGAGGUGAGCCGAGCCAAUCAGAUGCUCUUUCUUGAGAAUUUGCAUAAAAAGAUGUAGACACUGUUGCCUCCGCAGGAGCGGUACUGAUACCAGGUGGGGCUGUAUGCGGGCAUCUGCAAGUACGCAAGUACCUGUAAGCAGAGGAAGCCAGUGGGAAGAAGCAAAGAGGCCACACAGCAACUCAGGAAGAGAAAGGCAGCCUCACUCCUGACCUGGUUCCAUCCUGAGCUGAGGUUGGGGAGUUAUUUGUCACAUCCUCACCAUCAGCUUUCCUUGCACUCGGGCUGCUUUCAAUGGGUUUUUGUGCCGUAGCUUGAACAGUCUUGGUAUGGGCAGGCUUUGCCCUCCCUCUUUCUCCUCCCAUCACUUCUUCAUGCCUUUGCCCCUUCAUCUGCCUCUUACCAACCCCCAAUCCAUCCCCUUGCCUCUGCCUUAGCCCAGGUCCUCUUCCCCCCACCUGGUCUCCCCCUUCAUUUUACUUUUCACAUUGUUGAUAAAAUGAUCUUUCCAGCUUGACCCCAUUACCCCCUUGCUUAAAAACCUUUAAAUGGCUCCUCUUUGUACCAGAUUAAAGUUAGAACUCCUUCGUUGGCCUUUGAGGUCACUCGCCGUACCCCUGUACCCUUCUCCAGCUGCUGGUCUCCUGGCCUGCCCCACAGCCACCCCAAGGUAAAAUGAGUCCACCCAGAAUUUCACACUUCUGAGUCUUUGCACACCCUGCAACUUAUGUGCAAAAUAUACCAUGUCUCCGCCCAUUUCCCAGCAGGUGAAUUCCCACUCCUCCAAGACCAAGGUCAGGUGUCAUGCCACCCCGCCCCCUGGGAUCCUCCCUCCUUUGUGCCUCCAGGCCCUUCCGGAGGAGCCCAGCUCACAUCCACCUCAUUGUCCUGGCACCAUGGGCCUGCGUGUUUCUGUGCUUCUCCCUGGCUGUGGGCAGGCGCUGUGUGUCAUCUCAGUAUUCCCAUUCAACAAAUGAC